rnacentral:rRNA from 1 species
UACGUAUGGUGCAAGCGUUAUCCGGAUUUACUGGGUGUAAAGGGAGCGCAGGCGGCACGGCAAGCCUGAUGUGAAAGCCCGCGGCCCAACCGCGGGACUGCAUUGGGAACUACCGGGCUGGAGCGCCGGAGAGGUAGGCGGAAUUCCUAGUGUAGCGGUGAAAUGCGUAGAUAUUAGGAGGAACACCAGUGGCGAAGGCGGCCUACUGGACGGUGACUGACGCUGAGGCUCGAAAGCGUGGGGAGCAAACAGG